UCGGGAAUUUUGGGCAAUGGGCGAAAGCCUGACCCAGCAACGCCGCGUGAAGGAUGAAGUAUUUCGGUAUGUAAACUUCGAAAGAAUAGGAAGAAUAAAUGACGGUACUAUUUAUAAGGUCCGGCUAACUACGUGCCAGCAGCCGCGGUAAUACGUAGGGACCAAGCGUUGUUCGGAUUUACUGGGCGUAAAGGGCGCGUAGGCGGCAAUUCAAGUCAUCUGUGAAAUCUCCGGGCUUAACUCGGAACGGUCAGAUGAUACUGCUUUGCUAGAGUGCAGAAGGGGCAAUCGGAAUUCUUGGUGUAGCGGUGAAAUGCGUAGAUAUCAAGAGGAACACCCGAGGUGAAGACGGGUUGCUGGGCUGACACUGACGCUGAGGCGCGAAAGCCAGGGGAGCAAACGGGAUUAGAUACCCCCGUAGUCCCUGAGCGGGCUGGCAAGGCGCAU
rnacentral:rRNA from 1 species